CGGACUACCCGGGUAUCUAAUCCUGUUUGAUCCCCACGCUUUCGUCCCUGAGCGUCAAUCCAGGCCUAGUGAGCUGCCUUCGCUAUCGGUGUUCUGUGUAGUAUCUAUGCAUUUCACCGCUACACUACACAUUCCGCCCACUUCGACCGAAUUCAAGACGUACAGUAUCAAUGGCAGUUCUGCAGUUAAGCUGCAGGAUUUCACCACUGACUUAUACGCCCGCCUGCGGACCCUUUAAACCCAAUGAUUCCGGAUAACGCUUGCACCCUCCGUAUUACCGCGGCGGCUGGCAC
rnacentral:misc_RNA from 1 species